UGGAACUCAUAGACUUCUGCCUGCCUUUGC
rnacentral:piRNA from 1 species